AACUGCUUAACUAAGCUAUGAUAAUGUAUAUAUGUUACUGCGUAAGUGUUGCAUCAUAUUUAAUCGAUGAAAUUACAAGGGUCUAACUAAUGGCAAAUAAUUUGUAAUAAUCGUAUAAAUUAUUACAAUGUCAAUAUCAAGAAAGCAGUUCAAAUAUGUCAUUAAUGCACGUAUUGCUAUGCACGUAGACCUUCAAGUGACGUUCAACACUCAAGUGACUGUCAUAAUGAAAAAUGCGUUUUAUAGUUGCAACUUCGGCAUACGGGAUUAGAUCAAUGUAUCAACCCAUACAAACGUUUUUAUAACUCUUGAAGAAAUUUUUUUUGUGCUUUUUUUAGCAUCAUUUAACUAGAUUGCGCUGAUAAAUUAGAUGUUUAAAAUAAGCACUAACCUUUUUCCAUUUGCGCUCUUGUGCGAACAACCAUAAUAAUGUGCACAUGGUACAGAAAAGUGGCGCUUCCUUGUCACACCAGUGAAGCAUUAUGCCGAUCAUCCCGUCUAUGUAAUCCGCAUUAAAGCUAUUCUGUCGAGUCUGUAACGAUCGCGCGGCAGCCCCUAUAAUGCUGUACAACUGGUCGGGCAGAAUGUUGCUCAUUCUAAUGGAAACUUCUCGACAAUGCCUUACUAUGAAUUCUGGAAGACAAAAUUAAAUUCAACAUUAAACAUGUUAUAUUCGCCAAUCAACAAAAUUACCCACCUAAGUCUUCCAAAGCAGCCAGAAUCAGAUGCAAUGAAGAAUUCUUUGUGAUCAUGCAAGUCAUUGCAUCUUCAGAUCGUUGAGCUAACGUUUUGCUUUUCUUGGGCUGUGAGAAUCUUCUCUGUUGCAGUUUCUUCAAAGAAGCUAAUCGAGAGAUGUUUAAUUUUCUGAAGACGUAACCUCUCCAAAUUGCCUACAAGUUAUUUAUACUUUUAAGUGUUAAUAAAGUAGAUAAUGACUUCACAAUCUUAAA
rnacentral:lncRNA from 1 species